rnacentral:rRNA from 1 species
AGUGAACGCUGGCGGUAGGCCUAACACAUGCAAGUCGAACGGCAGCACAGUAAGAGCUUGCUCUUACGGGUGGCGAGUGGCGGACGGGUGAGGAAUACAUCGGAAUCUACUUUUUCGUGGGGGAUAACGUAGGGAAACUUACGCUAAUACCGCAUACGACCUACGGGUGAAAACAGGGGAUCUUCGGACCUUGCGCGAUUGAAUGAGCCGAUGUCGGAUUAGCUAGUUGGCGGGGUAAAGGCCCACCAAGGCGACGAUCCGUAGCUGGUCUGAGAGGAUGAUCAGCCACACUGGAACUGAGACACGGUCCAGACUCCUACGGGAGGCAGCAGUGGGGAAUAUUGGACAAUGGGCGCAAGCCUGAUCCAGCCAUACCGCGUGGGUGAAGAAGGCCUUCGGGUUGUAAAGUCCUUUUGUUGGGAAAGAAAAGCAGCAGGUUAAUACCCCGCUGUUCUGACGGUACCCAAAGAAUAAGCACCGGCUAACUUCGUG